rnacentral:rRNA from 1 species
GACGAACGCUGGCGGCAGGCCUAACACAUGCAAGUCGAACGAGUGGCGGACGGGUGAGUAAUGUCUGGGAAACUGCCCGAUGGAGGGGGAUAACUACUGGAAACGGUAGCUAAUACCGCAUACCAUCGGAUGUGCCCAGAUUGGAUUAGCUAGUAGGUGGGGUAACGGCUCACGUAGUCGACGAUCCCUAGCUGGUCUGAGAGGAUGACCAGCAAAACUGGAAAUGAGACACGGGCCAGACCCCUACGGGAGGCAGCAGUGGGGAAUAUUGCACAAUGGGCGCAAGCCUGAUGCAGCCAUGCCGCGUGUAUGAAGAAGGCCUUCGGGUUGUAAAGUACUUUCAGCGAGGAGGCGUUACUCGCAGAAGAAGCAUCGGCUAACUCCGUGCCAGCCGCCACGGUAAUAC